rnacentral:SRP_RNA from 2 species
UAAUAAGACAUUACAACAUAAGUGGCGAAUCGUGUCAGGUUGGAAACAAAGCAGCACUAAGCAUUAACUUUUGUGUGUAGUGUCAUUUUUAUUUAUA